AUAUCUAUAUAGCACAGAACCCAGUACAUUUUAUUUUUUUCAAGAGAGCUGAUGGAUGGUGUAAAUCAGCAAAAAAUAAGUUUGGAAGUUCCAGUUCUUUGAUGUGUACCUUUCGAAAUAAGAAAGGUCGGUAAAACAGCCGUUAUCUGUUAACAAGAGCAGCAUAUUUAUAUGUUGAACUCGGGUGGUACCGCGAAUGUUAGACCGAUUCGUCCCAAGA
rnacentral:ncRNA from 1 species